rnacentral:rRNA from 1 species
UACAGGGGGGGCAAGCGUUGUUCGGAAUUACUGGGCGUAAAGGGCCAGUAGGCGGCCAACUAAGUCCGACGUGAAAUCCCCAGGCUUAACCUGGGAACUGCGUCUGAUACUGGAUGGCUUGAGUUCGGGAGAGGGAUGCGGAAUUCCAGGUGUAGCGGUGAAAUGCGUAGAUAUCUGGAGGAACACCGGUGGCGAAGGCGGCAUCCUGGACCGACACUGACGCUGAGGCGCGAAAGCUAGGGGAGCAAACAGG